AUACCUUCUCGGCCUCCAGGCUAAGAUCAAGUGUAGUACCUGUUCUAAUCAAUGUGAAAACUGGUUUUCGCCUUUUGGCGAGUUUUUUCACGCGCAUUUUUGGGGCAAUCGCCUGCGGCUAGCUUGCUAAGCGGCGGACGAACGGUCUCUGGGGGCGUUCACCUUUCCCCCGCGAGGCCAACUACA
rnacentral:snRNA from 1 species